GCGNACCACCCUGGGGUCGGGUAUAGCGCGGGAAACUGCGGGUAAUCCCCGGCGACGUGAAGGCGUCGGCAUCGACGCUUCACCAAAGGCGCAAGCCGCCCUGGGACGGGCCGUCGUGGUAUUAGGUUGUUGGCGGGGUGACGGCCCACCAAGCCUGUGAUGCCUACCGGGCGUGCGAGCGUGGCCCGGCACACUGGGACUGAGACACUGCCCAGACUCCUACGGGAAGGCUGCAGUCGAGAAUCUUCGGCAAUGGGCGCAAGCCUGACCGAGCGACGCCGCGUGGAGGACGAAGGCCUUCGGGUUGUAAACUCCUGUCGAGGGGGAGGAAGGGGAAACCUUGACCGAUCCCUGGAGGAAGCACGGGCUAAGUUCGUGCCAGCAGCCGCGGUAAGACGAACCGUGCGAACGU
rnacentral:rRNA from 1 species